CACUUGAACCCGGAGGCAGAAGUGAGCUGUGAUCACACCACUGCACUCCAGCCUUGGCAACAAAACAAAACCCUGUCUCAAACAAACAAACAAACAAACAAACAAACAAACAAACCCAAACAUAACCCAUGAGUUCAUACUGUUGUAAACAAAUGACUUGAUCAGAUGGAUUGCUGGAUGGCUGAAUGGAUAGAUAGAUAGUGUCUUAGUCCAUUUUCUGCUACUAUAACAGUAUAACAUAGACUGGGUAGUUUAAUAAGAACAGACAUUUAUUUGGCUCAUGAUUCUGGAGGCUGGGAUUCUGGAGGCUGUUGGCGCCAUUUGGUAAGGGUCAUCUUAUGAUGAAAGGGCAAACGAACAUGUGAGACAGAGAGGAAGGGGUAUGAACUUAUCAGAAGGGGUAUGAACUUAUCAGGAGCCCACUCCUGAGAUAACAGCAUUAAUUUUUUCAGGAGGGCAAAGCCUUCAUGGUCUAAUUACCUCUUAAAGACCUCACUUCUUUAACUACAUUUCCAAUGCAUGAACUUUUGG
rnacentral:lncRNA from 1 species